rnacentral:pre_miRNA from 1 species
UAAUUUGUUUCCUUGAUAUAAACCCUGUAGAUCCGAGUUAGAUGGUUUUUCCAAUUCGAAUCUCGGGGAAUUAUAUUAAUGAGAUUAUCUUCU